GACGAACGCUGGCGGCGUGCUUAACACAUGCAAGUCGAACGGAAAGGCCCUGCUUUUGUGGGGUGCUCGAGUGGCGAACGGGUGAGUAACACGUGAGUAACCUGCCCUUGACUUUGGGAUAACUUCAGGAAACUGGGGCUAAUACCGGAUAGGAGCUCCUGCUGCAUGGUGGGGGUUGGAAGGUUUCGGCGGUUGGGGAUGGACUCGCGGCUUAUCAGCUUGUUGGUGGGGUGGUGGCUUACCAAGGCUUUGACGGGUAGCCGGCCUGAGAGGGUGACCGGCCACAUUGGGACUGAGAUACGGCCCAGACUCCUACGGGAGGCAGCAGUGGGGAAUAUUGCACAAUGGGCGGAAGCCUGAUGCAGCAACGCCGCGUGCGGGAUGACGGCCUUCGGGUUGUAAACCGCUUUCGCCUGUGACGAAGCGUGAGUGACGGUAAUGGGUAAAGAAGCACCGGCUAACUACGUG
rnacentral:rRNA from 1 species